AUUAACCCUUUCCACACUGCUCCCCUGACUCAGAGGGAACCCAGGCUGGAUGCUGCAGAGAAAGAUUCCAAAGGCCCUUUCUUUUCCAUACUGAACACUUGUUUCUCCUUGGCCAGAGCACAGGUGCCCUUUUGUCAGGAUUUGGGUCGGGGGUGGGGGGCAUGAAGGCAAGGGGUUGGUGGAUCGGGGUGCUUACGUAUUGGCUGGGACUCCGGAAGAAGUGGCAGGCGCAGAGGACCUGGCAGCACUGGGGGUCGCGCUGGUGCAGCAGCAGCAGCAGCAGGAUGGCCAUGAUGAACACUGUGGAUGAGGCUGCCUUCCCCCAAGAGGCACCGUCAGGGGGCAGCCUGGACCCAGCAUGUGCAGGCCCAUCUCCUCACCAGAUUGGAAUUCACUCCAGAAGCUGGUGUAGGAAUGACCUGGCUGGUACUGAUACCAGCUUGACAAGCAAGGCAAACUGAGGUGCAGGCAGCUCCCUUUUUGCUACGGCAUCAAGUCCCUGGGGCAGAGAUUUGUGAGGGGGAGCAGAGUAGCCCUGUCCCUUCCCUGCCUGCAGCCCAGGGGGUGAUGUGUGUAAGGGAGAUUUUACAGAGACACAAAGGGAGGGGAUGGAGCAGAUACCCUGAGAAACUGGAUCUGAGGAGGCAGGAAAGGACCCAAGAGCCCAGCUCAACAGCUCCUGGUGCCCAGCCCCUCUUGUUACCAAAGAUUGUGGCAUCAUAGGACCUGGCACAGGGAAGGGACCAGAGGGAUCAAAGACCAGCCAUGUGCAGCAUACUUCUCAAGUCUUGGCUGGGGAGGGCUGUUGCUUGAGGUGACCCUAUAGAUGAAGAAUCUGGGCUUUGCCUACAGUGAGGGGCCAAAGGUGCCUCUGCCCCACCCCUGGGACACGGAAUGGCAGUAGGUACUCACUGGUGGCCACGACUAUGGCCAGGAGGCUGUUGUCCAUGGUGAUGUCUGCACACGGAGAAGCAGUGGCAGGGGAUGCCAAGAAAGGGCAUCAGUCUUGAGGGCAGCCAGCAGGGCCACAGGGCUGACCCUCCCCGAGGUGCCACACCCCUCCCUGGGAACCCUGGCCCAGAGGAACAGCUUCAUUCAGAGCAGGGGCAUCUGUAAGCAGCUUUCCAGGAGCUCAGCCUCUCCUGCCUCUGCAGGCCUGGCAGCUAUGAGUGUCCCACUACAACCUUCAGAGCAGGGGUUGGGGGGAACAGGCCCUGCUUCUGCUGAACCUGACAGCCAGUGGGACUCCAACUCGCCCAGAUCUCUGCACUUCUCAGUCCCAGAUCCCUCCCAGCCCCAUUGCCCACCUCCACUUCCCAUUGGCUCAGAUAACUGGGCUCUGGAUGUUAAUUGGCUGUCUUCUGGUCUUGGCUUCCACCUCUAACAGAACCGUGGUGUCCAUGGUUGCCCUGGAAACUGGGUACGCCAGGCCAUGAAAUACAAAAGCCUCUCUGCCCAGGCUCUCCUCCUCCCUCCAAAGCAGUUAUUGUGCAGCUCUGGGGGCCCAGCCUGCCUUUGGCCGCUCCCCGCCCCCACUCUGUGUCCUGCCUGGCCCAAAUCCUGAUUUUGACCCCAGUGGCCCAGCCAGGAGUGGAUUUCAAAGAAACCUCAAAAAACCCAAGCCUCCAGGCUGAGCUAACCCUACAGAAAGGUGGGGGAUAGAGAACACUGUCUGCCAGGAACUCAGGCAGCAAAGCUGAGCUCUCACCUCAGUGACCUGGACAGGGGAGAGAAUGGGAGAGGAGCACCUCCACCCCCAAAUCUGCCCUCUGAACCUGUCAGGAGGAGUCCUGGAGGCUGGUCCUGGGUCCUGCAGUGCUUCCAACUCAGUGGGGCCAAGACAGGCCUGCCAGAGCAGCAGGGGUGGGGUUACGCUUCCCUAGUUCUGCCUGCCUGCUUGUUAGAAAGGCCUGAGGAGCUUUAAAAGCAUACCACUGUGGGUUGCCACCUCAGACCGUUAAAUCAGAAUCCUCUGUCAGGAUCACGACUCACUUGAGUUGAAGAAUGUAAACUCCAAAUGUUUACAGCAGGUGACAAUAAUGGGGAACUACGACCUGAUCUAAUAUGGUGGAGAAGGACAGGGAUGCGGCGAGUGCAUGUGUUACCUAAGAUUUUUUUUUUUUUUUAAUGGUACUUUGAGGCCAGGAGUAGUGGCUGAUGCCUGUCAUCCCAACGCUUUGGGAGGUUGGAGCGGGAGGACUGCUUGAGGCCAGGAGUUUGAGACCAGCCUGGGCAACAUGGAGAGACCCCUGUUCUGCCAAUAAAU
rnacentral:lncRNA from 1 species